UUACAGAACUGUUAAGGUUGAGCUGAAAGUUUUUGUUUGCAGCUAUUGAACUAGUGCAGUUUUGAAGYUGUUGCUGUUUUGAUUCAUUGGUCAAGGCACAAGAUAAUUGUGAUUCAUAUGAUUCUCUURUUCUUGUGAGGUUGAAUAAUUGUGAUUGACAGUGUGGCUGGAAAGUAUCAGCUAAGGAGAGGUUUAUACAAGAAAUUGGAGGCAAGGCUCAGAAAUCACUAGCAUAUGUUGAAGAUUGAUCAAACGAGCAGUAGUUACCUGGUUGUUUUGUUUUUGUACUGUUUAUGUACUGGUUUUGUAAUUCAAUCAUAGGGUCUUGUUGAUUUACUGUUUUUAUACUGGUUGAUUGUUGUAAGGUACUGGAAACAGCUGAGAAUAGUGAUUUAGACAGCAUUGAUUCUGGUUUUUGAGG